GAGGAAGCUAAGCCGGAGAAAGGAGACGGAAAAUUGAAAUUGUCAGAGGAGCUAGCAGGCCAAACAGGACCAACAGGCGGAAGAGUGAUUGCCGACAUGCAUCGCCGGCAUUGGCGUGCCAAAUGUAACGAUUUAGGCAUUAGUCCGGCCAAGCUUGUUGAAUUCCGGAGCUGACGGAUAUAUUUCUGUGUCAUCGUAAAAAUCGCCGGCUAUUACUUGAUUGUCCUUCAUGAGAGCCAUAAAGCCGUUGGCGGCCUACGGACUUUGCCCUCUCUGCCCUAUGGCCUAUUGGCCCGGGGGGCCAUUGUAAAAUGAUUUACUCGCCGGGCUGCCCCUCCUCUAGCUCCUUCCGUUCAUUUGUGGCGGGAAAUCGGUGGCGGUUUUUGGAUAACAGGGAUUUAACGACGCAUCACUGACACACAAACUGGAAUUUGGAGUUUUGGAAUUAGAAGAACGAAACUGACUUUUGCGAUGGGAGGAGUUCUUCGAGUCCUUACGAAAUCUAUUCACGAUUCUUUCUAUGG
rnacentral:sRNA from 1 species